UACGGAGGGUGCAAGCGUUAUCCGGAUUCACUGGGUUUAAAGGGUGCGUAGGCGGGCAGGUAAGUCAGUGGUGAAAUCUCCGAGCUUAACUCGGAAACUGCCGUUGAUAUUACUUGUCUUGAAUAUUGUGGAGGUAAGCGGAAUAUGUCAUGUAGCGGUGAAAUGCUUAGAUAUGACAUAGAACACCAAUUGCGAAGGCAGCUUACUACACAAUGAUUGACGCUGAGGCACGAAAGCGUGGGGAUCAAACAGG
rnacentral:rRNA from 1 species